rfam:Homo sapiens chromosome 19, GRCh38 reference primary assembly.
GCCGGGCAUGGUGGUGCACGCCUGUAAUCCCAGCUACUCAGGAGGCUGAGGCAGGAGAAUCGCUUGAACCCGGGAGGCAGAGGUUGCAGUGAGCUGAGAUUGUGCCACUGCACUCCAGCCUGGGCGACAGAGCGAGACCCUGUCUCAA